GACGUAGGGCGCGAGCGUUGUCCGGAUUUAUUGGGCGUAAAGAGCUCGUAGGCGGCUUGUCGCGUCGACUGUGAAAACCCGCGGCUCAACUGCGGGCCUGCAGUCGAUACGGGCAGGCUAGAGUUCGGUAGGGGAGACUGGAAUUCCUGGUGUAGCGGCGAAAUGCGCAGAUAUCAGGAGGAACACCGGUGGCGAAGGCGGGUCUCUGGGCCGAUACUGACGCUGAGGAGCGAAAGCGUGGGGAGCGAACAGG
rnacentral:rRNA from 1 species